rnacentral:rRNA from 1 species
UACGUAGGGUGCGAGCGUUGUCCGGAAUUAUUGGGCGUAAAGGGCUCGUAGGCGGUUUGUCGCGUCGGGAGUGAAAACCUCGGGCUUAACUUGGGGCUUGCUUUCGAUACGGGCAGACUGGAGGUAUGCAGGGGAGAACGGAAUUCCUGGUGUAGCGGUGAAAUGCGCAGAUAUCAGGAGGAACACCGGUGGCGAAGGCGGGUCUCUGGGCCGAUACUGACGCUGAGGAGCGAAAGCGUGGGGAGCAAACAGG